UGAGGGUAAAGGCCCACCAAGGCGACGAUCAGUAGCCGGUCUGAGAGGGUGAUCGGCCACAUUGGAACUGAGACACGGUCCAAACUCCUACGGGAGGCAGCAGUGGGGAAUAUUGCACAAUGGGCGAAAGCCUGAUGCAGCAACGCCGCGUGAACGAAGAAGGUCUUAGGAUCGUAAAGUUCUGUUGUUAGGGGCGAAGGGCGAUAGUUUAAAUAAGGCUAUUGUUUGACGGUACUUAACGAGGAAGCCACGGCUAACUAC
rnacentral:rRNA from 1 species